UGCCAAGUUCUUUUGUUUGCAUUAUAUGCGUUCGGAAUGCAUCCACCAUAUUUCCACCGACAUCGUCACGAUAAAGACGAUUGAUGAGUACAUCUCCACGAAGAUUUAAGAAAUAGAUCGCAGAUGCAGCCACCGGCAUCGCUGAACCAGUGGAUCAAGGAGACACGAGGAUGAUGAUGGGUGAGCACAGAUCUGGGGGUUUUGAGUUUAAUGGAGCGAGUCGAUUUGAUUGAUUAGGAUUGCAUAUGGUGGACCGUGGACGCCGGAUGAGAAGACCUGCUAUGGAAGAAAAAGAAAUUUUCUUCGUGAGUUGCAGAGCCGUAGUCAGCAUUCAGCAACGGCACUUUUCGGUCUUUCCUUUAGCACGCGCUUUAACUACCAGAAUUUUUCUAGUGCCAAAUCCUGCUC
rnacentral:misc_RNA from 1 species